rnacentral:lncRNA from 1 species
UUUUUUUUUCUUUUUUCCUUUUUAGGGCUGCUCCUGCAGCAUAUGGAAAUUGCCAGCCUCGGGGUGGAAUCUGAGCUGCAGCUGCCGGCCUACACCACAGCAACGUGGGAUUGGAGACUCAUCUGUGGCCUACACCACAGCUCAUGGCAAUGCUGGAUCCCUGACCCACGGAGUGAGGCCAGGGAUCAAAUCUGAAUCUUCAUGGAUACUAGCUGGAUUCAUUUCUGCUGUGCCACAGUGGGAAUUCCUGUUACACUACCGUGAUUUUUAUUUUUAUGAGAAGAAACAAUAUGCUGUUGAUAUUCGUGGGGAUCCCCCUAGAAACCACCAAGCAUAUGUUCUCAAUGGGCUGUGACUACAAGACAAAGUUUUCUUCUUUUUUUUAAUACUCAACUUAUUACAGCAUAAGCCCCAGUUCAUGUAAGUCUUUCUAAGCCAGCAAUUUCUCCAGGCUCUUCCUCUGAAACCUGCUGCUCUGGCUGAAUACUGCUGCCUCUUCCUCCUGGUCUCUUCCAGAGCCUUCUAACUUCCCAUAGCACAGCUAUAAAAUUUUAACAAACCAGCCUAGGUUCACAGAAGCAUAGCUCCUCGUGCAAGGUAACGGCGUUCUCCUGGAGCUGGUCAUUCUAAAGGCCCUGGGCGCUGUCUCACUAGGGCUGCCUGAGGGGCCUUGCCUAGCUNNNNNNNNNNNNNNNNNNNGCAGGAGGCCUUGAGCAGCUUUACACCCGUAGCCUCCCCGACACUCUCUUCCCUCUUGGCUCCAAAUUAAAAAAGAAGUUCUUUCACAUGCCUAUCGAACACCAGUGUCUUUCCUGCUCUAGAAUCAACUUCUCAGGUUGACCACAGAAAUCUUGACUGCCUCUCGAGGAAACCCACAACCACACCCUGGAAAAGAAAGUCAUAAUAGACCACGUGACAUUUAGCAACAUGUGUCCUUUUACUAGAUGAAAUAACAGCAUCUGCCCUGACCCCUGCCCUCUUCAUCACCUUUCCUCACCAGAAGGAAGUGAGGUGAGCCCUAUGUGCGGGCUCCCCUGCCUGGCUUGAGGUGCCCUCCUUCUGGGAGCAAACGCUGGACCAAGAAGACUGUAUUCUAAGAACAGGCAUGGGCAGGCCAAGCGCGGAGGUAAAAGCAAAGCCCAAGAAAGAGAACAGGUCUCUACUCCGCAGGGACAAGACACCCUGCCCGCUGCCUUCUCAGAACAAAACACUCCAACCUCAGUCUACAGCACUUCCAUUCUACUCUCUGCUGCUUGUGGGGCUUCCCCAAGGAAAAUGAGGGGUCAUUAUUGCCCCCCAUCUGCCUGACUGAAAGGGCCUCACCAAAGAGAAGGUCCUCUAAGAAAGUGAGGUUCAGUUCAAAAAACAACUGGCAGCAUUCAGCCAGAAAUGCUGAAACUCCCUUCACUUCUGCAAAUGGUAGAAUAUCUGGCUUCUCAGAAAGUUUAGUGUCUGUCCCACUUCCUGCUGCCUUCAGAUGACACUCCCAGCCAUGUUCAUAGAGACCCCAACGCGGAUGCGCCUAGACUCUUUAAUCCACAAGGGGUUUCUGAAAAUGCAGCUAUGUGUUUAAAAAAAAAAAAAAAAUGAGGUCACAAGAUGGCAGGGACACAGCAGGAUCAGGUUUUAAAAUGCAGGUUUUAGUAAACUGAAGCCUUUAAGGAAGAACAGCGGAAUAAGUUUGAUGGCCCAAUUUGACACAUAAAUUCCUUCAAAAUGCUUCAUUUUUUUUUCUCCAAAUGAUGGGUAUUCAUUAAACUUACCUACAUCGUGAAAUGAUUACCCAAGGAAGGCAAAUAUUACAUUACAUUUUAAACUCAUACAGCGCUGUGUGCCAAUUCUAUUUCAAUAAAACUGGAAGGAAAAAAAGAGGUCAGGAUUCAAUGAUGUUACAAAUGUUAGGAAGAUGCUCAUGUAGCUUAAAGACACAGGAGAGUUCAAUGUCAACCCCAUGAUGUGGGCCACGAACCACCUGUGAGCUCUGCUUCCACUUCCCCCAGGCACCACUAUGUCCCCUGGACAGUACCACGCAGACAGACAUAGCUGUGGCCUCUGAGGGCCCCAAUGCCUUGCCCAGCCCCUGCUGCCAUUUCUAAGUGGAGCUGCCCUCUGACAGUUUCCUGAGAGCUCAAAACAGGGGUUCUGAAGACAGCAGAGCUUCCUGUGCUCUCAGACCAGUCCACGAACAACGCUCCUCAGUCACCUCCUUUAGAUAAACCUCUGCCCCCCACCCCCACUCACCACACAACUUAGCCAAACAUCAGAGACCUGCGCCAAGAGAUAAACAAGGAAGAAAGCCUUUCCCUUCUCAAAUUUGCCUUCUGCCUUCAGGUUGAAGGCUCUCAAAGAGGCUCCCCAGCCCCUCAUGAAGAAAGACAAACACCAUAUGAUAUCACUUAUAUGUACAAUCUUAAAAAAAGGAUACAAAAGAACUUACUUGCAGAAUAGAAAGAGACUCACAUACUUUGAAAACAAACUUAGGGUUACCAAAGGGGACGGGGGGAAGAGGACAGACUGGGGCUUUGGGACUGGCACAUGCACACUGAGGUGUAUGGAAUGACAUGCCAAUGGGAACCCGCUGUAUAGCGCAGCGAACUCUGCCCUGUAUUCCGUGAUAAUCCCUGUGUGAAAAGAACUUGGAAGAGAAUAGACGUGUGUGUAUAACUGAGUCACUUUGCUAUAUAGCAGAAAUUAUCACAUUGUAAAUCAACUACACUUCAAUAAAACUGAAAAAAAAAAGAAAAAAAAGAAAACCAAGCCUUUUAGCCAGUUCACCUACCAAUCCCAGCAGACAUGCAGGAAUGAGUGUGUGAUGACCAGCGGCACAUUUCGUGUAUGACCCAACAGGAUGGAGGGUGAAGCUGCUGAGUCAGUCCUCUGCAGUCAACCAACAUGUGUCAGGUUCCCUGACAUCCCAGGCUUGAUGUUAGUGCCCAUUCCUGUCUCAGAACAUGACAUGUGAUGGCUAAAGAGACUGUUCUUUAGUGGAGAAGUCCAGAACAGCUGGAAGAGGGACGGCUGACGCUGAAUGUCCCUUCUGCUGACAGUUGGGAUUGCUUACCUCAGGAUCCUUUGGUGCGAUGGGGGUGGGGGACGGAAUAAGUCAUAAGUCAUUCUGCCCCUCCUGCUUUUUUUUUUUUUUUUUUUUUUUUUUUUUUUUUUUUGGUCAUGGCAUGCAGCAGUUUAACACAGGCUGCAGUGGUAAAAGUGCUAAAUCCUAACCACUAAACCACCAGGGAACUUUUUCCCUUCCUCUUCUCUGCUCAUUCUCUGAGGGCCACCACUGACACUGGGCGCUGCCUCAGCAAGAGGUAAGUGAGACCCUACACAUAGUGAACUCAGAAGUGAAUUCAUAACAAAUCCUGACCCUAACAUGCCCAAGCUCGAACAUGUACACUCACUCAGAGACCUUCUGCAUUUCUUAAGCCCCAGUGGUACCACAUCAUAUGCAGUCCCAGCCACAGGGAACUGAGAAUACAAGAAACCUCACAAACAUAUAUAAAUAUUAGGAAAGCAUCUUCAAGAGAUGCAACCUCCAGUGCAGCCAGCAUGUUCACCUUCGCACUGGAAGUAGCCACUAUCCUGGGUGUGUGGUUCCAGGCCCAGCAUCAUCCAUUUCUUUGGUGAAUUUGACUUUGCCCCUUCCAUUUAUGGGUCAAGGCACCCUUCAGCACCUCCCUGGGUUGACAAGGAAAUGAGAUGAUAAGGUAUAAUCUUUCAAUUAAAAAAGUACAUAUGAGAACAUAUGUUGGCUCUAUGAAUCAACAAUCUCCAAUGUGACCAUUAAAUGAUAAUUUCCUAUUUUCCCUAAAAUACUCUGUGAGGAAGCUACCAACAGGAGUGACAGGGUGUGAGGGCAGAAAUCAGACCUGGGACAAAGCAAAUACUCUCUUCAUCUUUCUUGACAAUGUCACUAAAUUUAUUGAUGGUAUAAUCGGAAAGUUUGGCUUAGAGCCAACUGUUGCCUUCUGAAUGAAGGGCAGAGAGUGGAGGAGCCAUAAAAUGUUAAUUGCAACAUGCAAGCUCGGGGCCACCUGCCCCAUCAAUCAUUGCAGCCUCUAGUCCAGCCAGCCAAUGAAGCCUCCCUAGUAGAGCCCCAGAAGAGGGCUAAUAAAUGCUGACCUCCUGGUGCAUGCAGCUCCUGACUACGUAAUUAACAUUUAUAAUAUGGGAAUGGCGUUAUUUCCAAGGCUUUGGAAAUUCCAUUUCCCGGACUGAGACAAUGUGUGCAGAAUGAAGUGGUGGCCAGGACCACUAAGCCAACAGUUUCACAAGGCAGAGAGCCCAUCUGUCACUGCUGAAUCCCUAGCCCGCUGCUCAGCGCCUGGCACUGAGCCACUGAGCAGAGGCACAGUAAUUACCCGUGGCCACUCUCCUCUGACUGUUGCCUUUGCUUCUCCCCUUCCUACACCCACAGACACACGCAGGGAAACACAGACACUCAAAAUCACACAUAUACACACAGAGGCACACACACAGAGACACAUUUCUCUUAAUAACAAGGAGUGGGGCUAGAAUUACCAUUAUUUCUUUCCUCAGUUUGACACUCCCCUUUGCUGGUAAAAAUAAAGCCAUUUAUAAUAGGAGAUCCCUGCUUUGUUUCCUUAAAUUUUUCAGUUGCUUCUGAAGAGUGAUUAAGAGUUUUUCAAGGCCAAUGUCUUCAUUUUAAAGGUGGGAAAACUGAGGCCCAGAUGGGGAGCGGAACUGCUUUAGUGAAUUAGUGACAUCAGGGAUGAAUCUGGGCCCUUGUUUUCUAAGCUACAUGGUCCCGCGUUCCUUCUGGUGACGACCUUUUCGCUAUCGCCCCCACUGAGAUUCAUCUUCUACCAAAAGGGCUGCUGUACUGCGUGCCUCCUUCUUGCCAGGCCAGGAGCCAGGCCUCUAACACGUGUUGUCGCCAAUCUUGCUAUUGAUAUGUGGGGGUACGUAUCAUCAUCUGCAUCUCAGAACUGAAGAACUCAAAGAUCAGGAGGGCAAAACAGUCAACUCAACCACGGAAACGGACAAUAUUCCAUCACAUCUGUCUGACAAAAAAGGCAAAUGACUAAUUCCCCCAGGCCUCAGAGGAGGUAAGGGGCCAAGCCCAGCUGUGCCCCCAGAGCCCUCUUCCCUCUGCGGCGGACUCCCAAAUACACAGCCCGCCUCACACCGUGCUGGUCCGGCUGGCCUUCUUUACUGCGCGGGCGAACCUCUAGCCUCGGCCUUCCUGCCCUCCACUCUACACGCAGAAUCUCCAUCGCAGCUGUCCUCGGGGCUUUUCUGAUCUCGGCGCUUUAGGCUUUGGGACUUUUCCUCUGUCCUCAGCCCUCUGAGCAUCCCUCUGACAGUUCUCUGAACCAUGAGGGCUCUCGUGCCCAGGCUGCGCCCCCCGCCACUCUCAUCACGAUGGUUUCUCCCCUCUCCCGGCUGGGCUGGUCUGUCCUUUCCUCAUUUGGAGUCUACAAAGCAUUUACUCCCCACAUCUCUGCAGUUUCCUUUAAGCACAGGCAGUGUCUGGGCUUUCAAAAUACAUCCACAAAUGUUUGGAUACGGCUGCUUUCAAGCGGUAAAGCUUACCUUCCCUCCUCCUGGGUGUGGGCUGGGCUUCAUGACUGUCUCCUCACAAAGAAAAAACAGCAGACAUGACCGUACACCACGUCGGAGAUUAGAUUAGUGGGGAAGGCACAUCACGCAGAGCCUUAAAGAAAGGCUGAUGGU